GCUGGGCGUGGUGGCUCAUGCCUGUAAUCCCAGCUACUUGGGAGGCUGAGACAGUAGGAUUGCUUGAGUCCAGGAGUUGAAGACCAGCCUGGGCAAAAAAACAAGACUCUGUCUCUA
ensembl:misc_RNA Metazoa_SRP Metazoan signal recognition particle RNA